rnacentral:siRNA from 1 species
CAUAGUGAUUUGUAGGAUCGGUA